CGGUUGAGUUCUGGGUCACCUCCCACCCGUGUUUAUUUUACCUUGUUGCUUUGGCGGGCCCGCCUUAACUGGCCGCCGGGGGGCUUACGCCCCCGGGCCCGCGCCCGCCGAAGACACCCUCGAACUCUGUCUGAAGAUUGUAGUCUGAGUGAAAAUAUAAAUUAUUUAAAACUUUCAUCAACGGAUCUCUUGGUUCGGGCAUCGAUGAAGAACGCAGCGACAUGCGAUACGUAAUGUGAAUUGCAAAUUCAGUGAAUCAUCGAGUCUUUGAACGCACAUUGCGCCCCCUGGUAUUCCGGGGGGCAUGCCUGUCCGAGCGUCAUUGCGGCCCUCAAGCACGGCUUGUGUGUUGGGCCCCGUCCUCCGAUCCCGGGGGACGGGCACGAAAGGCAGCGGCGGCACCGCGUGCGGUCCUCGAGUGUAUGGGGCUUUGUCACCCGCUCUGUAGGCCCGGCCGGCGCUUGCCGAUCAACCCAAAUUUUUAUCCAGGUUGACCUCGGAUCUGGUAGGGAUACCCGCUGAACUUAAGCAUAUCAAUAAGCAGAGGAA
rnacentral:sRNA from 1 species